GACGAACGCUGGCGGCGUGCCUAAUACAUGCAAGUAGAACGCAGUUGCGAACGGGUGAGUAACGCGUAGGUAACUGCCUCAUAGCGGGGGAUAACUAUUGGAAACGAUAGCUAAUACCGCAUACUGUGAGAUGGACCUGCGUUGUAUUAGCUAGUUGGUGAGGUAAAGGCUAACCAAGGCGACGAUACAUAGCCGACCGGAGAGGGUGAUCGGUCACACUGGGACUGAGACACUGCCCAGACUCCUACGGGAGGCAUCGGGAGGUGAUCUUGUGCAAUGGAAGGAAGGCUGACCGAGCCACGCCUCGGGCGGGACGAAGGGUUUCGGGCCGUAAAGCUCUGUUGGUAGAUAAACGGUAACUAACCAGAAAGGGACGGCUAACUACGUGACAGCAGCCGCGGUAAUUC
rnacentral:rRNA from 1 species